AGAGUUUGAUCAUGGCUCAGAACGAACGCUGGCGGCAUGCCUAACACAUGCAAGUCGAACGCGUGUAGCAAUACACGAGUGGCGCACGGGUGAGUAACGCGUGGGAACCUGCCCUGGAGUGGGGGAUAACCCGGCGAAAGCCGGGCUAAUACCGCAUACGACCUAUGGGUGAAAGAUUUAUCGCUCUGGGAGGGGCCCGC
rnacentral:rRNA from 1 species